rnacentral:rRNA from 1 species
UACGAAGGGGGCUAGCGUUGCUCGGAAUCACUGGGCGUAAAGGGCGCGUAGGCGGGUCUUUAAGUCAGGGGUGAAAUCCUGGAGCUCAACUCCAGAACUGCCUUUGAUACUGAGGAUCUUGAGUUCGGGAGAGGUGAGUGGAACUGCGAGUGUAGAGGUGAAAUUCGUAGAUAUUCGCAAGAACACCAGUGGCGAAGGCGGCUCACUGGCCCGAUACUGACGCUAAGGCACGAAAGCGUGGGGAGCAAACAGG